AACGAACGCUGGCGGCAGGCCUAACACAUGCAAGUCGAGCGAAGCCUUCGGGCUUAGCGGCGGACGGGUGAGUAACGCGUGGGAACGUGCCCUUUGGUACGGAAUAGCCCCGGGAAACUGGGAGUAAUACCGUAUGUGGUCGAGAGACGAAAGAUUUAUCGCCAAAGGAUCGGCCCGCGUUGGAUUAGGUAGUUGGUGGGGUAAUGGCCUACCAAGCCGACGAUCCAUAGCUGGUUUGAGAGGAUGAUCAGCCACACCGGGACUGAGACACGGCCCAGACUCCUACGGGAGGCAGCAGUGGGGAAUCUUAGACAAUGGGGGAAACCCUGAUCUAGCCAUGCCGCGUGAUCGAUGAAGGCCUUAGGGUUGUAAAGAUCUUUCAGUGGGGAAGAUAAUGACUGUACCCACAGAAGAAGCCCCGGCUAACUCCGUGCCAGCCGCCGCUGUAAAAC
rnacentral:rRNA from 1 species